rnacentral:rRNA from 1 species
AUUGAACGCUGGCGGCAGGCCUAACACAUGCAAGUUGAACGAGUGGCGGACGGUUGAGGAAUGUCGGGGAAACUGCCUUAUGGAUGGGGCUCACUACUGGAGACUGUCGCUAAUACAGCAUACCAUCGGAUGUGCCCAGAUGGGAUUGGCUAGUAGGUGGGGUAAAGGCUCACCUAGGGGACGAUCCCUAGCUGGUCUGAGAGGAUGACCAGCCACACUGGAACUGAGACACGGUCCAGACUCCUACGGGAGGCAGCAGUGGGGAAUAUUGCGCAAGUGGCGCAAGUCUGAUCCAGCAAUGCCGCGUGUAUGAAGAAGGCCUUCGGAUUGUAAAGCACUUUCGGCAGGGAGGCGGUACCUGCCCAGGAAGCACCGGCUAACUCCGUGCCAGCAGCCGCGGUAAUUC